rnacentral:tRNA from 1 species
GGGUUCCCGAGCGGCAAAGGAGCGAACUGUAAAUCUGCCGUCACAGACUUCGAAGGUUCGAAUCCUUCCCCACCA